GAUUAAAAAAAAAAGAACACGCCCGAUCUCGUCCGAUCUCGGAAGCCAAGCAGGGUCGGGCCUGGUUAGUACUUGGAUGGGAGACCGCCUGGGAAUACCAGGUGCUGUAAGCU
rnacentral:rRNA from 1 species